rnacentral:lncRNA from 1 species
UUUAUCAUUUCUUAAUUAUAUUUGUACGGUGAAACAAUUAUUGUACCCUGAAAUGGGCUCAUGGUUAGGCCCCAAAGGUGAAUUGACUUUGAAGUUACUCCAACUUAAAAAAAAAAAAAAAAAAAAAAAAAAACAAAAAAAAAAAAAAAAAAAAUGAAAUCGUACAUCAUCGUAAUUUCUCUAUUUUUAAAUCAAACGUAAAUAGAAAUAAACUAAUAAAUUUUCAGUUGUUUCCAAUUAACUCGAAAUUUUACAAUUUAGUCUGGAACUAACAAUUUGUUGAAAUUCAGUCCAAUUAAGAUUUUUCUCAACCGACAAGCAC